AAAAACUAUUGCCGUAUAAACACCUGACAGGGAGCGCUGGUCACACCCUUAACACCAGCUCUAAGACGAGAUGUUACAACAAAAUGUUUGGAAAUUGAACUGCUCCAUAACAGCUGAAAAUGAUAAUGGGCGUAUGGAACAAAAGCUCCCACCAACACUACCACCAGUGUGGCAUGAUCAUCACUGCCACCACCACUACUAGCACCACCACCUAUGGCAAGGUGAGUUAACAACCCUUGGGAAAUUGAACAGCACCAUCACAGCUGGAAAUGAUCACUGCAGGCUGAGACAAACAGCUGCCAUUGUAGAACUUAAUUCCAAUAAACACUAUAGCACCACCACCACCACUCCCACAUAUGGCAAGAUGAGUAACGACUAAACCCUUGAGAAAUUAACAACUGGAUCAUGGAAACACUACUGUUACAGUAGGGCAGCAGUGGCCAGCACAUGGCCAUCCAGGGUAGCAGCAGCAGUGGCCAGCACAUGGCAGUCUAGGGUAGCAGCAGCAGUGGCCAGCCCAGGACAGUGUCCAGGGCAGCAGCAGACAG